UAUAAGAUUACCAAGAUCAUUUCAUAUCUUGCAAAUUCCUCUCUCUCCUUCUCCCCUAACUUUCGACCACCACCUCUCUCCCCUUCAUCUCUCUACUUUCCACCAUUUUCCUCCAUUGAUGCACCUUCGGAGCUUCACAAAUUCAUACCAAAACUCAAAUCACCCUCUAAAUCCACCUUAAACACCUUCCAUCUCCUUAGAUUCAAGAAGAUCCAUGGAGAUUCAAUCUUGAAGUUAGUGAGAGAAAAUUUGAUAUUUGGUGUAAACUUGGACACGAGCAGAGCAGGGAAGUAAGUAACUCCGCUUUGACGGGAGUUUUUGAGUAAGGUCUUCAGGCUAAGCGAGGAGCGAGAUUGGUCUGGUGCUGGCGGGGAAUUGUUAGAGGAUGUAUUUACUUUAUCGUAUUUCCAUUUUGACGAUAAAGUCUUGAUAAUUGAUAUACUUGGAUUUUCUUUUGAAGUUAAGCAAUGUACUCACGGUUAUAUGUCUUCAUACAUAUAAUCGAUUCGCCUUUUGCUGCGAUACUCUGCAUAUUAUGAUUCCUUACGAAAAAUGAGCGAUACCCGUUUUGUUUUU